CAGUGUCAAGAGAGAGUCCAGCAACCUAGAGAACAAAAGGAUGAGAGAGAAAAAUACAUGGUAUCAGACAGAGGGGUGAUGGCUGGCCAACUGUGGUGGAGCACAGCACCGGGUUAGGGGAGAGCUAUUAGCGGAAGGAGAGGCCGGCAACCGGUGGAGGAAGAGCUCAUCAUAAGGGGGAACAUCCCGAAUAAAGAAAUGGGGAUGAGGUGAGAGAUAAUAGAGAGAAAGAGAUGGAUGAAAGAGAGGGAA
rnacentral:lncRNA from 1 species